UAAAGAGUUAAAAAGGAUUUAGGGUUCACCAAUUGUGACGCAUCAGCUUCCUUUGAGAAGCUUCGCUCUCUUCUUCCACGAAACAACGCCGUUCCCCUUCAUUUUCCGAUCAACCCUUCCACAGCGCCACCGUUAGCGGUGAUUCGUUCUCCUCAAGCUCCCGUCUCUCUUCCUUUCGUUCUCGGAUUCACGACAAUGGUGAAGUGGUUGAUGAUGAAAGUUACGUGCUGGAUUGUUGUUCUUGUACGCAGAUUGUGACGAAGUUGUAGUAGAUGUCGUUGCGGAUUCGAUGCUGAAGCUUGAUGGCGGAGAUCGAUCUUUUGAGGGUGGUGAUUAUAUUGCAGGUCCUCCCCUGAUUGAAUUUGACACAGAGCGGUGAAUACGAUCGAAGGUGAAGUAGCUUCGAACGUUUCGAUACCAGGAGGAUGCGAAAUAAACGCAGAGCCAAGAUUGAUUAAGAUAUUUUUAGUUUCUCGCACUUCGAUUCACUUCCUCUUCUAUGAAUCCCGAAUUCUAUUCUUCAUCUUUUUUCUGAUUUUUUCUUUGUACGCAUUCUUGAGAUGUUGUUCUUGGUGAAGAUUUUUUAGAAUUUGCAGAUGAAGAUGAAGAUGAAGCGUGAGGAAGGUGAAGGCGAUGGAGAGUGAGAGAUUGAAGGUUUGUUGAAGUUGAACCAAUGGAGAGGAUUGGAGCUGAUUCUGUUAAGGUUAGAAAUUUCAGAGUUGGUGAAUGAAUGAAAGUGAUGAAGAUUGCCACGGUUCUGAAUCGAUGAAGGUUCUUGGAGAAUAUGAAUGGAGAUUGAAAGGAGAUGAAUGUGAAGUGGUGGAGAAUGAAGAUGGUGAAGAAUCAGGUGGUGUGUGAAGAUGAGAAGGGAUCGAGGGAUUGGUGAAAAUGGUGGAGAGCUUCAAAUGUGAAUGAUGCUGGUGAUAUAUAGAGGUCUGAACCGGUUUAGUUCUUUAUUAUGCGGCGGGUCGAGUUGGUUUUGCAACAGGUUUGUUCUUUUGUGUGAAAGUUUGCAGGUAGAUAGCAGCAAGUUCUCUUGGGGUGUAUCUUCAUGACAACUUAACAACUUGACGUUGGCGUACAAACAAAAGCAGAAGUGGCGGACUCUUGGAAAACAAGUUCGGGGAGGGAUGUUUAGUUAGAAGUCCAAAGGUCAACAGUUCAUGGUUUGGUCAACAAGGUCAAUGGUCAACAGUUGACUAAAAGUCAACGGUUGACCCAAAAGUCAACUCUUGUAAAAAUGUAUAUUUUUUUGUAACUUUCUUUGAGGGAAUAUUGUAAUGGACGCUUGGCAAGGGAAUAAGGGAUGUAAUGGAAUUCGAAUGGGCUGACAUUUCAUAUGAAUGUUGACUUUCAAAUAUUUUACUCUUUGUAUUUGUAA